rnacentral:rRNA from 1 species
CCUACGGGUGGCAGCAGUGGGGAAUAUUGCGCAAUGGGCGAAAGCCUGACGCAGCGACGCCGCGUGAGGGAUGAAGGUCUUCGGAUCGUAAACCUCUGUCAGCAGGGAAGAACGGUCACUGUGCUAAUCAGCAGUGAAUUGACGGUACCUGAAGAAGAAGCCCCGGCUAACUACGUGCCAGCAGCCGCGGUAAUACGUAGGGGGCAAGCGUUAUCCGGAGUUACUGGGUGUAAAGGGGGCGCAGACGGCGAUGCAAGCCAGGAGUGAAAGCCCGGGGCCCAACCCCGGGACUGCUCUUGGAACUGCGUGGCUGGAGUGCAGGAGGGGCAGGCGGAAUUCCUGGUGUAGCGGUGAAAUGCGUAGAUAUCAGGAGGAACACCGGUGGCGAAGGCGGCCUGCUGGACUGCAACUGACGUUGAGGCCCGAAAGCGUGGGGAGCAAACAGGAUUAGAUACCCUAGUAGUC